rnacentral:rRNA from 1 species
GACUCUCGGCAACGGAUAUCUCGGCUCACGCAUCGAUGAAGAACGUAGCAAAAUGCGAUACUUGGUGUGAAUUGCAGAAUCCCGUGAACCAUCGAGUUUUUGAACGCAAGUUGCGCCCGAAGCCAUUCGGCUGAGGGCACGUCUGCCUGGGCGUCACAC